rnacentral:tRNA from 1 species
GCUGGUAUGGCUCAGUUGGUAGAGCAGUUGAUUCGUAAUCAACAGGUCGCCGGUUCGAGUCCGGCUACCAGCUCCA